UACGUAGGGUGCAAGCGUUGUCCGGAAUUAUUGGGCGUAAAGAGCUCGUAGGCGGUUUGUCGCGUCUGUCGUGAAAGCCCACAGCUUAACUGUGGGUCUGCGGUGGAUACGGGCAGACUAGAGGCAGGUAGGGGAGAACGGAAUUCCCGGUGUAGCGGUGAAAUGCGCAGAUAUCGGGAGGAACACCGGUGGCGAAGGCGGUUCUCUGGGCCUGUACUGACGCUGAGGAGCGAAAGCGUGGGGAGCGAACAGGAUAGAUACCGAGUAGU
rnacentral:rRNA from 1 species